GACGAACGCUGGCGGCGUGCUUAACACAUGCAAGUCGAGCGAUGAAGUUUCUUCGGAAAUGGAUUAGCGGCGAACGGGUGAGGAACACGUGAAGAAUCUGCCCUCCACUUCGGGAUAACACCGGGAAACCGGUGCUAAUACUGAAUAUUGAAACAUAAGUGGCAUCACUGAGUUUUGAAAGAAUUUCGGUGGAGGAUGACUUCGCGGCCUAUCAGCUAGUUGGUGAGGUAAUGGCUCACCAAGGCAACGACGGGUAGCCGGCCUGAGAGGGCGACCGGCCACACUGGGACUGAGACACGGCCCAGACUCCUACGGGAGGCAGCAGUGGGGAAUAUUGGGUAAUGGAGGAAACUCUGACCCAGCGACGCCGCGUGCGGGAUGAAGGCCUUCGGGUUGUAAACCGCUUUCAGUAGGGAAGAAGCGAAAGUGACGGUACCUACAAAAGAAGCACCGGCUAACUAUGUGCCAGCAGCCGCAGUAA
rnacentral:rRNA from 1 species